rnacentral:rRNA from 1 species
UAAGCAUAUCAAUAAGCGGAGGAAAAGAAACCAACAGGGAUUGCCCUAGUAACGGCGAGUGAAGCGGCAACAGCUCAAAUUUGAAAUCUGGCUCUCGGGCCCGAGUUGUAAUUUGUAGAGGAUACUUUUGAUGCGGUGCCUUCCGAGUUCCCUGGAACGGGACGCCAUAGAGGGUGAGAGCCCCGUCUGGUUGGAUGCCAAAUCUCUGUAAAGUUCCUUCGACGAGUCGAGUAGUUUGGGAAUGCUGCUCUAAAUGGGAGGUAUAUGUCUUCUAAAGCUAAAUAUUGGCCAGAGACCGAUAGCGCACAAGUAGAGUGAUCGAAAGAUGAAAAGCACUUUGAAAAGAGAGUUAAAAAGUACGUGAAAUUGUUGAAAGGGAAGCGUUUAUGACCAGACUUGGACUUGGUUAAUCAUCUGGGGUUCUCCCCAGUGCACUUCUCCAGUUCAGGCCAGCAUCAGUUUUCGCCGGGGGAUAAAGGCAGCGGGAAUGUGGCUCUCUUCGGGGAGUGUUAUAGCCCGUUGUGUAAUACCCUGGUGGGGACUGAGGUUCGCGCUUCUGCAAGGAUGCUGGCGUAAUGGUCAUCAACGACCCGUCUUGAAACACGGACCAAGGAGUCGUCUUCGUAUGCGAGUGUUCGGGUGUCAAACCCCUACGCGUAAUGAAAGUGAACGCAGGUGAGAGCUUCGGCGCAUCAUCGACCGAUCCUGAUGUUCUCGGAUGGAUUUGAGUAAGAGCAUACGGGGCCGGACCCGAAAGAAGGUGAACUAUGCCUGUAUAGGGUGAAGCCAGAGGAAACUCUGGUGGAGGCUCGCAGCGGUUCUGACGUGCAAAUCGAUCGUCAAAUAUGGGCAUGGGGGCGAAAGACU